UUUAUUAGUUGCAUUCAUGUAGUUGCACUCCAUGCUUGUGUUCUUGUGGUCAUCUAUAUUAUUAUUACAUGAGCUAGAUGGAUUUUGUGGGUACAUUCGCUAUAGGCCCUCACGAGACCUUACUCGUCCACUAGGGCUGCCUAGGGGUUUAAAGGGCUUGUUGCAUAUGCCAAAUGCAACCGUGAUCACCUACGGAAGUGGUAUAUAUCUAUUAGGUGUUAGUUUUAUUUAUUUUAUUUGCCCGAGGACGUGCAAAAGACUAAGUGUGGGGAUAUUUGAUAGAGCAUAUAUUUAUAUAUGUUUUUAUAUGAUUUUAUUCCCAUAAUUUUUAGUAUUUUGUAAAUAAUCGGGAUGUUACUAAUUGAUUUUAAGUGUUUAAUUUCAGGAAAAUAAAUAUUCCUAAAGUUGGAUUAAAUCAAGCUUAUUUGGGCUUAAUCAGAUGAAAAUUCGGACUUUAUGGUUAGCCAGCGAAUCAAAUCUUGUUUGGGCCGUAACUUGAGUUCUGGACGUCAGAAUUGGGCGAUUCAACAGCCCACGCGAAGAUAUUG
rnacentral:lncRNA from 1 species